rnacentral:rRNA from 1 species
AGCUCCAAUAGCGUAUAUUAAAGUUGUUGCAGUUAAAAAGCUCGUAGUUGGAUCUCGGGUCCGGGCUGGCGGUCCCGUUCGCGCGGGCACUGCCUGUUUUUCCCGACCUACCUGCCGGCACCGUCCCUCGGUGCUCUUCACUGAGUGCCUUGGGUGGCCGGCGCGUUUACUUUGAAAAAAUUAGAGUGUUCAAAGCAGGCCGUCCGCGCCUGAAUACCGAUGCAUGGAAUAAUGGAAUAGGACCUCGGACUUCUAUUUUGCUGGUUUCUAGAUCUCGAGGUAAUGAUUAAGAGGGACGGCCGGGGGCGUUAGUAUUACGGUGUUAGAGGUGAAAUUCAUGGAUCGCCGUAAGACUCACGGUUGCGAAAGCGUUCGCCAAGAACGUUUUCAUUGAUCAAGA